AUGAAUCUCAUGUUUUGGAACUGCGGGGGUGGGGGGAACCGCCGGACAGUUCGCGAGGUCUUGGCCCUCUCAAAAGCCAAUUCCCCCAAGCUUGUCUUCCUCCGUGAGACACGACAAGCAUCUGAGAAAGUUGAGAAAUUGAAGUGGAGACUAGGGAUGAGAGGUUUCUGUGGCGUGGGCAGUGAUGGCCUGAGCGGUGGGUUGGCUUUAUUCUGGGAUGAGUCACUC
rnacentral:rRNA from 1 species